rnacentral:rRNA from 1 species
GAAGUCCUACGGGGGGCAGCAGUGGGGAAUAUUGCACAAUGGGCGAAAGCCUGAUGCAGCGACGCCGCGUGAAGGAUGAAGUAUUUCGGUAUGCAAACUUCUAUCAGCAGGGAAGAAAAUGACGGUACCUGACUAAGAAGCCCCGGCUAACUACGUGCCAGCAGCCGCGGUAAUACGUAGGGGGCAAGCGUUAUCCGGAUUUACUGGGUGUAAAGGGAGCGUAGACGGCGAUGCAAGCCAGAUGUGAAAGCCCGGGGCUCAACCCCGGGACUGCAUUUGGUACUGUGGGGCUGGAGGUGCG